UACGUAGGGUGCAAGCGUCGUCCGGAAUUAUUGGGCGUAAAGAGCUCGUAGGCGGUCUGUCGCGUCGGCUGUGAAAUCCCGAGGCUCAACCUCGGGUCUGCAGUCGAUACGGGCAAACUAGAGUAUUGCAGGGGAGACUGGAAUUCCUGGUGUAGCGGUGAAAUGCGCAGAUAUCAGGAGGAACACCGGUGGCGAAGGCGGGUCUCUGGGCAAUAACUGACGCUGAGGAGCGAAAGCGUGGGGAGCGAACAGG
rnacentral:rRNA from 1 species